rnacentral:rRNA from 1 species
AGUCCAGACUCCUACGGGAGGCAGCAGUGGGGAAUAUUGCACAAUGGGGGGAACCCUGAUGCAGCGACGCCGCGUGAGUGAAGAAGUAUUUCGGUCUGUAAAGCUCUAUCAGCAGGGAAGAAAAUGACGGUACCUGACUAAGAAGCCCCGGCUAACUACGUGCCAGCAGCCGCGGUAAUACGUAGGGGGCAAGCGUUAUCCGGAUUUACUGGGUGUAAAGGGAGCGUAGACGGCGAUGCAAGCCAGAUGUGAAAGCCCGGGGCUCAACCCCGGGACUGCAUUUGGAACUGUAUAGCUAGAGUGUCGGAGAGGCAGGCGGAAUUCCUAGUGUGGCGGUGAAAUGCGUAGAUAUUAGGAGGAACACCAGUGGCGAAGGCGGCCUGCUGGACGAUGACUGACGUUGAGGCUCGAAAGCGUGGGGAGCAAACAGGAUUAGAUACCCUGGUACG